rnacentral:rRNA from 1 species
GACGAACGCUGGCGGCGUGCUUAACACAUGCAAGUCGAACGGAAAGGCCCUGCUUUUGUGGGGCGCUCGAGUGGCGAACGGGUGAGUAACACGUGAGUAACCUGCCCUUGACUUUGGGAUAACUUCAGGAAACUGGGGCUAAUACCGGAUAGGAGCUCCUGCUGCAUGGUGGGGGUUGGAAAGUUUCGGCGGUUGGGGAUGGACUCGCGGCUUAUCAGCUUGUUGGUGGGGUAGUGGCUUACCAAGGCUUUGACGGGUAGCCGGCCUGAGAGGGUGACCGGCCACAUUGGGACUGAGAUACGGCCCAGACUCCUACGGGAGGCAGCAGUGGGGAAUAUUGCACAAUGGGCGGAAGCCUGAUGCAGCAACGCCGCGUGCGGGAUGACGGCCUUCGGGUUGUAAACCGCUUCCGCCUGUGACGAAGCGUGAGUGACGGUAAUGGGUAAAGAAGCACCGGCUAACUACGUG